rnacentral:rRNA from 1 species
UACGGGGGGGGCAAGCGUUGUUCGGAAUUACUGGGCGUAAAGGGCUCGUAGGUGGCCAACUAAGUCAGACGUGAAAUCCCUCGGCUCAACCGGGGAACUGCGUCUGAUACUGGAUGGCUUGAGUUUGGGAGAGGGAUGCGGAAUUCCAGGUGUAGCGGUGAAAUGCGUAGAUAUCUGGAGGAACACCGGUGGCGAAGGCGGCAUCCUGGACCAACACUGACACUGAGGAGCGAAAGCCAGGGGAGCAAACGGG